rnacentral:rRNA from 1 species
UACAGAGGGGGCAAGCGUUGUUCGGAAUUACUGGGCGUAAAGGGCGCGUAGGCGGCCUUCUAAGUCGAACGUGAAAUCCCCGGGCUCAACCCGGGAACUGCGUCCGAUACUGGAAGGCUUGAGUCCGGGAGAGGAGAGUGGAAUUCCCAGUGUAGCGGUGAAAUGCGUAGAUAUUGGGAGGAACACCGGUGGCGAAGGCGGCUCUCUGGACCGGUACUGAUGCUGAACUGCGAAAGCCAGGGGAGCAAACGGG